AGAGUUUGAUCAUGGCUCAGAUUGAACGCUGGCGGCAUGCCUUACACAUGCAAGUCGAACGGCAGCAUGAUCUAGCUUGCUAGAUUGAUGGCGAGUGGCGAACGGGUGAGUAAUACAUCGGAACGUGCCCUGUAGUGGGGGAUAACUAGUCGAAAGAUUAGCUAAUACCGCAUACGACCUGAGGGUGAAAGUGGGGGACCGCAAGGCCUCAUGCUAUAGGAGCGGCCGAUGUCUGAUUAGCUAGUUGGUGAGGUAAAGGCUCACCAAGGCGACGAUCAGUAGCUGGUCUGAGAGGACGAUCAGCCACACUGGGACUGAGACACGGCCCAGACUCCUACGGGAGGCAGCAGUGGGGAAUUUUGGACAAUGGGCGAAAGCCUGAUCCAGCAAUGGCCGCGUGUGUGAAGAAGGCCUUCGGGUUGUAAAGCACUUUUGUCCGGAACGAAAUGGCUCUGGUUAAUACCUGGGGUCGAUGACGGUACCGGAAGAAUAAGGACCGGCUAACUACGUGCCAGCAGCCGCGGUAAUACGUAGGGUCCAAGCGUUAAUCGGAAUUACUGGGCGUAAAGCGUGCGCAGGCGGUUGUGCAAGACCGAUGUGAAAUCCCCGAGCUUAACUUGGGAAUUGCAUUGGUGACUGCACGGCUAGAGUGUGUCAGAGGGGGGUAGAAUUCCACGUGUAGCAGUGAAAUGCGUAGAGAUGUGGAGGAAUACCGAUGGCGAAGGCAGCCCCCUGGGAUAACACUGACGCUCAUGCACGAAAGCGUGGGGAGCAAACAGGAUUAGAUACCCUGGUAGUCCACGCCCUAAACGAUGUCAACUAGUUGUUGGGGAUUCAUUUCCUUAGUAAC
rnacentral:rRNA from 1 species